UCUUCCCUCUUUCUUCGUGCUUAACACAUGCAAGUCGAACGGUGAAGGCGGAGCUUGCUCUGCUGGAUCAGUGGCGAACGGGUGAGUAACACGUGAGCAAUCUGCCCCUGACUCUGGGAUAAGCGCUGGAAACGGCGUCUAAUACUGGAUACGAGCUGCGAAGGCAUCUUCAGCAGCUGGAAAGAACUUCGGUCAGGGAUGAGCUCGCGGCCUAUCAGCUUGUUGGUGAGGUAACGGCUCACCAAGGCGUCGCCGGGUAGCCGGCCUGAGAGGGUGACCGGCCACACUGGGACUGAGACACGGCCCAGACUCCUACGGGAGGCAGCAGUGGGGAAUAUUGCACAAUGGGCGAAAGCCUGAUGCAGCAACGCCGCGUGAGGGACGACGGCCUUCGGGUUGUAAACCUCUUUUAGCAGGGAAGAAGCGAAAGUGACGGUACCUGCAGAAAAAGCGCCGGCUAACUACGUG
rnacentral:rRNA from 1 species